GUCUACAGCCAUGCUACCCUGAACAAGCCCUAUCCUGUCUGAUGUCGGAAGUUAAGCCAGGUCAGGCCUAUUUAGUACUUGGAUGGGAGACCACUAAGGAAGAGACCGGGUGCUGUAGGCA
ensembl:rRNA 5S_rRNA 5S ribosomal RNA